rnacentral:rRNA from 1 species
GUUGAACGCUGGCGGCAGGCCUAACACAUGCAAGUCGAGCGGAUGAGGGAAGCUUGCUUCCCGAUUUAGCGGCGGACGGGUGAGUAAUGCCUAGGAAUCUGCCUAUUAGUGGGGGAUAACGUUCCGAAAGGAACGCUAAUACCGCAUACGUCCUACGGGAGAAAGUGGGGGAUCUUCGGACCUCACGCUAAUAGAUGAGCCUAGGUCGGAUUAGCUAGUUGGUGAGGUAACGGCUCACCAAGGCGACGAUCCGUAGCUGGUCUGAGAGGAUGAUAAGCCACACUGGGACUGAGACACGGCCCAGACUCCUACGGGAGGCAGCAGUGGGGAAUAUUGGACAAUGGGCGCAAGCCUGAUCCAGCAAUGCCGCGUGAGUGAUGAAGGCCUUCGGGUUGUAAAGUACUUUCAGCGGGGAGGAAGGCGAUAAGGUUAAUAACCUUGUCGAUUGACGUUACCCGCAGAAGAAGCACCGGCUAACUCCGUGCCAGCAGCCGCCGUAAGAC